UUUAUUUGUCCUUUUACAUCCUGUGCAUUCCUGCUCCUUAUAAGACAUGGGGACAUUAUAUACAUUUCCUCGUGUAGAUUACAGUGCAUUGUACAUAGAGGACGCCUCGUGAUAUCCCUGCCUGAACACAAGAUUCACAUAGUAACACACAGUGUGAAAACAGAUCUCAGCUACUCACAGGGUACAAUAUGACGGUAUGGCCACGCUGAUUAAAAAUGGGUGCUCCACCACAAUCCGGACAGUUAGUUUUGGCGCAGAAAGCUACUUUUGUGUAAAUAGACAUUAACUCUUUUACCACACAAGACCACCAGGGAUGUACAUUAAUCCCUUCACUGCCCUUGACCACCAGGGAUGUACAUUAAUCCCUUCACUGCCCUUGACCACCAGGGAUGUACAUUAAUCCCUUCACUGCUGUAGACCACCAGGGAUUUUCAUUAAUCCCUUCACUGCUGUAGACCACCAGGGACACCUACAAUAAGAGAUAAACCCAUACUUCAGUGGAAAUCCACAGACAAGGUUGAAGUUGGACCUUGCUACAAUCCAUCAUGUUUGGCAUGUUCUGGACACAAUGGGCACAGUAUAUGUGUUGCACUGGGUGCGACCAUGAAGCUGUUCCAACACACGAUUCAAAAUGAGCGGCAGGGUCCCAUUAGACAUGGUGGUCGAGAAUGGCAUAUGUGCCCACUGAUAAAUCCCUCCCAUUGGGUCACUGGCAUGGAGACACGGG